UACGAAGGGGGGCUAGCGUUGUUCGGAAUUACUGGGCGUAAAGCGCGUGUAGGCGGGUCCUUAAGUCAGGGGUGAAAUGCCAAGGCUCAACCUUGGAACUGCCUUUGAUACUGGGGAUCUUGAGUCCGGGGAGAGGUGAGUGGAACUGCGAGUGUAGAGGUGAAAUUCGUAGAUAUUCGCAAGAACACCAGUGGCGAAGGCGGCUCACUGGCCCGGAACUGACGCUGAGACGCGAAAAGCGUGGGGGAGCAAGCAGG
rnacentral:rRNA from 1 species